GACGAACUUUGGCGGCGUGCUCAACACAUGCAAGUCGAACGGAAAGGCCCUGCUUUUGUGGGGUGCUCGAGUGGCGAACGGGUGAGUAACACGUGAGUAACCUGCCCUUGACUUUGGGAUAACUUCAGGAAACUGGGGCUAAUACCGGAUAGGAGCUCCUGCUGCAUGGUGGGGGUUGGAAAGUUUCGGCGGUUGGGGAUGGACUCGCGGCUUAUCAGCUUGUUGGUGGGGUAGUGGCUUACCAAGGCUUUGACGGGUAGCCGGCCUGAGAGGGUGACCGGCCACAUUGGGACUGAGAUACGGCCCAGACUCCUACGGGAGGCAGCAGUGGGGAAUAUUGCACAAUGGGCGGAAGCCUGAUGCAGCAACGCCGCGUGCGGGAUGACGGCCUUCGGGUUGUAAACCGCUUUCGCCUGUGACGAAGCGUGAGUGACGGUAAUGGGUAAAGAAGCACCGGCUAACUACGUGCCAGCAGCCGCGGUGAUACGUAGGGUGCGAGCGUUGUCCGGAUUUAUUGGGCGUAAAGGGCUCGUAGGUGGUUGAUCGCGUCGGAAGUGUAAUCUUGGGGCUUAACCCUGAGCGUGCUUUCGAUACGGGUUGACUUGAGGAAGGUAGGGGAGAAUGGAAUUCCUGGUGGAGCGGUGGAAUGCGCAGAUAUCAGGAGGAACACCAGUGGCGAAGGCGGUUCUCUGGGCCUUUCCUGACGCUGAGGAGCGAAAGCGUGGGGAGCGAACAGGCUUAGAUACCCUGGUAGUCCACGCUGUAAACGGUGGGUACUAGGUGUGGGGUCCAUUCCACGGGUUCCGUGCCGUAGCUAACGCUUUAAGUACCCCGCCUGGGGAGUACGGCCGCAAGGCUAAAACUCAAAGGAAUUGACGGGGCCCCGCACAAGCGGCGGAGCAUGCGGAUUAAUUCGAUGCAACGCGUAGAACCUUACCUGGGUUUGACAUGGAUCGGGAGUGCUCAGAGAUGGGUGUGCCUCUUUUGGGGUCGGUUCACAGGUGGUGCAUGCCUGUCGUCAGCUCGUGUCGUGAGAUGUUGGGUUAAGUCCCGCAACGAGCGCAACCCUUGUUCACUGUUGCCAGCACGUUAUGGUGGGGACUCAGUGGAGACCGCCGGGGUCAACUCGGAGGAAGGUGGGGAUGACGUCAAGUCAUCAUGCCCCUUAUGUCCAGGGCUUCACGCAUGCUACAAUGGCUGGUACAGAGAGUGGCGAGCCUGUGAGGGUGAGCGAAUCUCGGAAAGCCGGUCUCAGUUCGGAUUGGGGUCUGCAACUCGACCUCAUGAAGUCGGAGUCGCUAGUAAUCGCAGAACAGCAACGCUGCGGUGAAUACGUUCCCGGGGCU
rnacentral:rRNA from 1 species